AAAAGACCUACAAAGUUUCUAAAGAACUAUAAAACAAGCAUGUUGUUCUUGGACUAUCUUGAAGGUUAGUGUACAUCCAGAUCAGCAGUUACUAAAUUUCGGUCAGCACCUAUAUAUGUAGACUUUAUGAGGCAGUGGAAUGUUGGUGUUUAUUUCUCACUGAGUUUUCAGGAAAUUGCGGGCACUUUGGAUUCUGUCCUUACAGUUGGUAGUAUUACGUUUGUUGAUGAUUUAAA